rnacentral:snRNA from 1 species
UGAUGUCAGAGUGAUCUGGGUUGUCAUCUGUCACCUUCUUGAUCUCCAGGGUUGGCCCUGGCUGGCUAGGAGGGUGUCCCCUUCCUCUCUCAUCCUCUCAUGUGUGGCCCUCUCAAAGCUACACGCUCUCAAAGGAGGUCGCCCUUCCCCAAUAGAGGAAGGAUUGUCUCCAGACAAAGAUGUUGGGCGUCGACUCCAUAGCUGGAGCUACUAAUCAGGCUCUCAAGGCGAAGUGACACUGGCAACGGAAACAAAAAGGCCCAGGAAUCUGUCUCAGGUGACCCUGGAGCU